GACAGAGGUGCCAAGCGUUAGGCGGAAUCACUGGGCCUAAAGCGUGUGUAGGCGGAAUUGUAAGUACCUUGUGAAAUCCCACGGCUUAACUGUGGAACGGCUGGGCAUACUGGCGGUCUUGAGCCAUCUAGGGGCGACUGGAACAAACGGUGGAGCGGUGAAAUGCGUAGAUAUCGUUUGGAACGCCAAUGGUGAAAACAGGUCGCUGGGGAUGCGCUGACGCUGAGACACGAAAGCCAGGGGAGCAAACGGG
rnacentral:rRNA from 1 species